AACGAUAAAUUUAUAACAAAAAAAACUUUUUAAAAGAUGAAAUAAAAAAUUAUGUAGGUUUAAUUAAAUUAAUUAAAUUAUCUAUAUCAUCUAAAAAAUAAUAUAAACUAAAACAAGGAUUAGAUACCCUUUUAUUUAUAAAUUAAAUAAUUAAGUUAGAUAUUAAAAACAUUAGUUCUAAACCUAAAAAAUUUGGCGGUAUUUUAAUAAAUCAGGGGAACUUGCAAAUUAAUUCGAUAAUCCACGACUCUCUUACCUUUAGUAGAAACUCAGUUAGUGUACUGCCGUACUUAUGUAAAUUUAUAAUUAUACAUAAUAAAAAUAUAUUAUUUUAUACAACAGGUCAAAGUGCAGCUUAUAUAAAGGGUAAUUGUGUGUUACAUUAUUAAAAAAUAUAUGUUAUAACAUAAAUAAAAUAUUUAUUAAAUUGGACUUGAUAGUAAUUAUAAAUAAUAAUGAAAUAAAUCUUAAAAUAUGUACAAAUCGCCCGUCACUCCCACCAUAAUG
rnacentral:rRNA from 1 species